rnacentral:misc_RNA from 1 species
CGCAGCCGCGGUAAUUCCAGCUCCAAUAGCGUAUAUUAAAGUUGUUGUGGUUAAAAAGCUCGUAGUAGAACCUUGGGCCUGGCUGGCCGGUCCGCCUCACCGCGUGCACUGGUCCGGCCGGGCCUUUCCCUCUGUGGAACCGCAUGCCCUUCACUGGGUGUGCCGGGGAAACAGGACUUUUACUUUGAAAAAUUAGAGUGCUCCAGGCAGGCCUAUGCUCGAAUACAUUAGCAUGGAAUAAUAGAAUAGGACGUGUGGUUCUAUUUUGUUGGUUUCUAGGACCGCCGUAAUGAUUAAUAGGGACAGUCGGGGGCAUCAGUAUUCAAUUGUCAGAGGUGAAAUUCUUGGAUUUAUUGAAGACUAACUACUGCGAAAGCAUUUGCCAAGGAUGUUUUCACUUAUCAGGAACGAAAGCUAGGGGAUCGAAGACGAUCAGAUACCGUCGUAGUCUUAACCAUAAACUAUGCCGACUAGGGAUCGGACGAUGUAUUUUUUGACUCGUUCGGCACCUUACGGAACC